rnacentral:lncRNA from 1 species
CCCGGGGCUCGUGUGGGAUGGAUUAGAGAUGGGAUGGAUUAGCCCACGCCACAGCCCAAGAUGGUCGCCAGCCCAGCACCACAGCCCAAGAUGGUCGCCAGCCCAGCACCACAGCCCAAGAUGGUCGCCAGCCCAGCACCACAGCACAAGAUGGCAGCCAAUCCAGCGCUACUGCACAAGAUGGCCGCCAGCCCAGCACUACAGCACAAUAUGGCCGCUGACCUGGCGCCAAGGCCCAAGAUGGCCGCUCGUCCAGAGUCAUGGCCCAAGAUGGCCGCCAAUCCAGCGCCACAGCACAAGAUGGCUGCAAGCCCAGUGCCACAGCGCAAGAUGGCCACUCACCCAAUGCCAAUGCUCAAGUCGGCCACCGAUCCAGAACCACGGUCCAAGAUGGCCGCCCGUCCCGAGUCAUGGCCCAAGAUGGCCGUCAAUCCAGCGCCACAGCCCAAGAUGGCCGUCAAUCCAGCGCCACAGCCCAAGAUGGCCGUCAAUCCAGCGCCACAGCACAAGAUGGCUGCCAGCCCAGUGCCACAGCACCAAAUGGCCAGCUGUCCAGAGUUAUGGCCCAAGAUGGCUGCUUGCCCAAUGCCGCUGCACAGGAUGACAGUCACAGCUGACCCUCUGGAGUCGAGUCAGGUUCCAGUGAACUCUCCAGAGUCGAGUCAGUUUCCUGUUGACUCCCCAGAGUCGAGUCAGUUUCCUGUUGACUCCCCAGAGUCGAGUCAGUUUCCUGUUGACCCCCCAGAGUCGAGUCAGGUUCCUGUUGACCCCCCAGAGUCGAGCCAGGUUCCUGUUGACCCCCCAGAGUCGAGCCAGGUUCCUGUUGACCCCCCAGAGUCGAGCCAGGUUCCUGUUGACCCCCCAGAGUCGAGCCAGGUUCCUGUUGACCCCCCAGAGUCGAGGCAGGUUCCUGUUGACCCCCCAGAGUCGAGCCAGGUUCCUGUUGACCCCCCAGAGUCGAGCCAGGUUCCUGUUGACCCCCAGAGUCGAGUCAGGUUCCAGUGAACUCUCCAGAGUCGAGUCAGGUUCCAGUUGACCCCCCAGAGUCGAGUCAGGUUCCAGUGAACUCUCCAGAGUCAAGUCAGGUGUUCGUGGACCCUCCAGAGUCAGGCCUAGUGACCGAUGACCUUCCAGAGUCAGGGCUAGUGACCGAUGACCUUCCAGAGUCAGGGCUAGUGACCGCUGACCUUCCAGAGUCAGGGCUAUUCACCGCUGACCUUCCAGAGUCAGGGCUAGUGACCGCUGACCUUCCAGAGUCAGGUCUAGUGACCGAUGACCUUCCAGAGUCAGGGCUAGUGACCGCUGACCUUCCAGAGUCAGGGCUAGUGACCGCUGACCUUCCAGAGUCAGGGCUAGUCACCGCUGACCU